UACGAAGGGGGCUAGCGUUGUUCGGAAUCACUGGGCGUAAAGGGCGCGUAGGCGGCUUUAUAAGUCGGGGGUGAAAGCCUGUGGCUCAACCACAGAAUUGCCUUCGAUACUGCAUGGCUUGAGACCGGAAGAGGUAAGUGGAACUGCGAGUGUAGAGGUGAAAUUCGUAGAUAUUCGCAAGAACACCAGUGGCGAAGGCGGCUUACUGGUCCGGUUCUGACGCUGAGGCGCGAAAGCGUGGGGAGCAAACAGG
rnacentral:rRNA from 1 species